GCCUGGGUGGCUCAUUCGGUUAAGCGUCCGACUUCAGCUCAGGUCAUGAUCUCAUGGUUUGUGGGUUCAAACCCCACAUCAGACU
rfam:Felis catus isolate Cinnamon breed Abyssinian chromosome A3, whole genome shotgun sequence.